AUCUUGUUAGUUGUGUUUUUCCCCAACACUAUUAUCAAUUUUUGUUGGUCAUUGUAGGCUUACUGCUCAAUGGAAGCCUAGGCUGGAGAUUGUCCUCUUCUUACCCACAAAUGCUGUUAACUAUACAAUGCAGAUUUGUGGUGGACCCAUUGAUUAUGUGUUCUUUCACAUAACUCAUUUCAACAAUCUCAAUUUGUACGAUCAUCUAAUAAGUAAAAAUAUGUGUGCAAAAAUUGAACUUCCUUCACAGUCUAUCAUCUUGUCUAUGACCAGCAGCAAAUAUCACUUCUCAGGAGCAGUUUUUACAAGGGAGACGAUAUUUGUUGAACCUGUCUAAGUAUGCAUUUUGACUCUCAAGCCAAAGUAGCCCCAAGUCUUGAACAAAAGAAAGUGAUGCCAUAAACCAGAAGGACAUGAAAUCAGAGGAGAGAGAAACCAAUCAUGAGAUUAUGUUGCAGUUGCAACGACACUAUAUUAAAAACUUGAGUAUCAUGAAAGUAACUCAAUGUAAUUGAUUAAAAUGAUUGGUACCUGGUGUUGUAGCAAGACGAGUUACAUGUAGCAACUUUGCAUAACAACCACACUGGCUGGUUGUGGCUCUAAUUAAGAAGUGUUGUAAUUUAUAUUUUUUUUUUGACAUUUUAUAAUA